UAUGCCAAAUGUUACCGGUUGAUGGCGCCACAUUUUCCGACUGCCGCCAUUUUUUGUUUGUUCUAAAAAGGUUGAUUUUAGUUUUAUUAUUUUAAAUUAUUUAAACAUUAUCACUGUUUUUUCCUAAUGUGGUGUUAGAAUAUGCCCAAGACACCGGGUAAAACUCCAUCUCCUACACUCACACCUAUAGGAAAGAAGAGACAAAGCAUUUCCAAGAAACAAUACACACCACUGAAAGAGAACAACUCAAACAGUGACGAUUUCGAAAACUUGGAAAAAAUUAUUAAAGAUAAAGAACAGCUUAUAGAUGAGCUAAAACGUGCUGAAAUUUUUAAGAAGAAAAACAAUCUCAAAGAAUUGGAAAAGCUGACGGCUUUAUGGAAAGCCGGCUGUAUGUCUGCCUUAAAUGACCUUUUGGCCUUGCAGCCCUACGGCAUAACAGACAUGGCAACGUUGCUCAUGAGUUUGAACGUAGAGCCGAAUUUAAUUACGUUAUCAGAGGAUGGUGACUUAGUUUAAAGCUGUACUAUACUUGAAAAAAAAAUACAAUAUGUAAUAUGUGUUGCUGGUUGCAUUUUACAGGCGUAAAAUCAUCUUUAAACACCUUACCGGAAGAGGAAAUGAAAAAACUUGCUAAAGUUAGAGAAUGUCUUUAUUACAUAUAAAAACAACUAUUACUUAAAUAAAUACACAGAUAAAUAUUAAA